rnacentral:misc_RNA from 1 species
AUUUUCAGUACCAGUAUAUGUAAACAAAUGAAUUUCAAGAGAUUUCUAGAUUUUCACACUACUACAGUUUUUAGUGGUCUUGUUUUUUUUUUUUUAUAGUUGUGUUUAAUAUUCAUAAAACAUUUUCUUUGCUCUAUUUAAUACAAUAACAUGUAUAUAGCCAUGUUUAAUAGUAGGAUAUCUCUACAUAUCCAUUAGUUUAGGUUUUUAUUUAUUCUUUCAUCUUAUAUCUUUUUUUGUUUGAUAUAUAUGUACAUGCCUUUACCCAAUAUCUGUUUGAUCAGCGAAUGCAUUCCUUAAAUUUCUAUAAUCUGUAAUUUUUCACAGAAUAAUCUUUACUAUGUUGGUUUAUGUGUGGAAUAUUUUGUAAACACAAUGGUUAGAAUUUAUAUGUGAUUGAGGAGGAGGGGGAUUGAUCAGUAAAUAAAUAGUGCAUGCUUUUCUUUUCUAGCUGCCUGAUAACUCUCCAGACUAUAGUGGUAUUCUACAAGAACAUUGACUUUUGUCAAUAAAAAUUGUUGAAAUAUUU